rnacentral:rRNA from 1 species
CCUACGGGUGGCAGCAGUGAGGAAUAUUGGUCAAUGGACGAGAGUCUGAACCAGCCAAGUAGCGUGAAGGAUGACUGCCCUAAGGAUUGUACACUUCUUUUAUAUAGGAAUAACAUGUUCCACGUGUGGCAUUUUGUAUGUACUAUAUGAAUAAGGAUCGGCUAACUCCGUGCCAGCAGCCGCGGUAAUACGGAGGAUCCGAGCGUUAUCCGGAUUUAAUGGGUUUAAAGGGAGCGUAGGUGGAGUGUUAAGUCAGUUGGGAAAGUUUGCGGCUCAACCGUGAAAUAGCAGUUGAAACUGGCAGUCUUGAGUACAGUAGAGGUAGGCGGAAUUCGUGGUGUAGCGGUGAAAUGCUUAGAUAUCACGAAGAACUCCGAUUGCGAAGGCAGUUCACUGGACUGCAACUGACACUGAGGCUCGAAAGUGUGGGUAUCAAACAGGAUUAGAUACCCUGGUAGUC